CCAGACUCCUACGGGAGGCAGCAGUGGGGAAUAUUGCACAAUGGGGGAAACCCUGAUGCAGCGACGCCGCGUGAGUGAUGAAGUAUUUCGGUAUGUAAAGCUCUAUCAGCAGGGAAGAAAAUGACGGUACCUGACUAAGAAGCACCGGCUGAAUACGUGCCAGCAGCCGCGGUAAUACGUAUGGUGCAAGCGUUAUCCGGAUUUACUGGGUGUAAAGGGAGCGUAGACGGAGAGGCAAGUCUGAUGUGAAAACCCGGGGCUCAACCCCGGGACUGCAUUGGAAACUGUUUUUCUAGAGUGUCGGAGAGGCAAGUGGAAUUCCUAGUGUAGCGGUGAAAUGCGUAGAUAUUAGGAGGAACACCAGUGGCGAAGGCGGCUUGCUGGACGAUGACUGACGUUGAGGCUCGAAAGCGUGGGGAGCAAACAGGAUUAGAUACCCUAGUA
rnacentral:rRNA from 1 species